rnacentral:miRNA from 1 species
CGCGUACUCCUCGUUGCCAUUCG